CAGAAAGUUGAUUCUGGCUCAGUUGAACGCUGGCAGGAUGCUUUACACAUGCAAGUCGAACGGCAGCACGGACUUCGGUCUGGUGGCGAGUGGCGAACGGGUGAGUAAUGUCAUCGAACGUGCCUGGUAGCGGGGGAUAACUACGCGAAAGCGUAGCUAAUGCCGCAUACGCCCUUCGGGGGAAAGCGGGGACCUUCGGGCCUCGCACUAUUAGAGCGGCCGAUAUCGGAUUAGCUAGUUGGUGGGGUAACGGCUCACCAAGGCGACGAUCCGUAGCUGGUUUGAGAGGACGACCAGCCACACUGGGACUGAGACACGGCGCAGACUCCUACGGGAGGCAGCAGUGGGGAAUUUUGGACAAUGGGGGAAACCCUGAUCCAGCCAUCCCGCGUGUGCGAUGAAGGCCUUCGGGUUGUAAGCACUUUUGGCAGGAAAAACGGCACGGGAUAAUACCCCGUGCAACUGACGGUACCUGCAGAAUGGCAUAGCUAACUACGACGCGCUUGUUAACGGUAAUACGUAGGGUGCAAGCGUUAAUCGGAAUUACUGGGCGUAAAGCGUGCGCAGGCGGUUCAGAAGAAGAUGAAAUCCCAGGCUUAACUUCCGGAACUGCAUUUUUAACUACCGAGCUAGAGUGUGUCAGAGGAGGUGGAAUUCACCUGUGUAGCAGUGAAGAACCGUAGAUAUUGCUGAACACACCGAUGGCGAAGGCAGCCUCCUGGGAUAACACUGACGCUCAUGCACAAAAGCGUGGGGAGCAAACAGGAUUAGAUACCCUGGUAGUCCGCCUAAAGCGUGUAAGCACAACUGUUGGGGCCUUCGGGCCUUGGUAGCGCAGCUAACGCGUGAAGUUGACCGCCUGGGAAGUACGGUCGCAAGAUUAAAACUCAAAGGAAUUGACAGGGACCCACAAGCGGUGGAUGAUGUGGAUUAAUUCGAUGCAACGCGAAAAACCUUACCUACCCUUGACAUGUCUGGAAUCCCGAAGAGAUUUGGGAGUGCUCGCAAGAAGAACCGGAACACGAGUGCUGCAUGGCUGUCGUCAGCUCGUGUCGUGAGAUCGUGGGUUAAGUCCCGCAACGAGCGCAACCCUUGUCAUUAGUUGCUACGAAAGGGCACUCUAAUGAGACUGCCAGUAUAAAUGGAGGAGAACCUGAGGAUGACAUCAAGUCCUCGCUGACCACACCAUGGGUGGACUACGUCGCUGGCUGGUCAAGGCUUGAAGUCGCCAACCAGGAGAGCCAAUCAGAAACCCGAAUCGUAGUCCGGAUCACGCAGUCUGCAACUCGACAGCCAGAGAGUCGAAUCGCUAGUAAUCGCGGAUCAGCAUGUCGCGGUGAAUGCGUUCCCGGGUCUUGUACACACCGCCCAUCACACCAUGGGAAGUGGGUUUUACCGAAGUAGUUAGCCUAACCGUAAGGAGGGCGAUUACCACGGUAGGAUUCAUGACUGGGGUGAAGUCGUAGCAGGUAG
rnacentral:rRNA from 1 species